GCCCUCUUGGCUCAGCGGUAGAGCGUGUCCUUGGUAAGGACAAGGUCCCGAGUUCGAUUCUCGGAGAGGGCU
rnacentral:tRNA from 1 species